UACAGAGGUCCCAAGCGUUGUUCGGAUUCAUUGGGCGUAAAGGGUGCGUAGGUGGCGAGGUUAGUCAGGUGUGAAAUCUCGGGGCUCAACCCCGAAACUGCACUUGAUACUGCCUUGCUAGAGUACUGGAGAGGAGAUUGGAAUUUACGGUGUAGCAGUGAAAUGCGUAGAUAUCGUAAGGAAGACCAGUGGCGAAGGCGAAUCUCUGGACAGUUACUGACACUGAGGCACGAAGGCCAGGGGAGCAAACGGG
rnacentral:rRNA from 1 species